rnacentral:lncRNA from 1 species
UGAUCAUAAAAAAUGAGCAGAAACUAGAGAAGUACAAUAGACUGGAUCACUUACACAAGGGAAAAACACCACUUUAACAGUUCUUAACUGUUUGGAGCGCAUAUAUUCCUUUAUAAUCUCGGAAAGCUACUAGAAGGAAAGCUACCCUACUUCAGGUAAAUGCAUACACAAAACUUGGUAUGAGCUCCCUGCCCUGAAGAUCACGCAAGAAUCCUAGGUUGAGAAGCAUCACUGUAAGAGCACAACAGGAUUGAUUCUGCAAUUAAUACUUUUAUGAAGAACAAAUACAUUUACAUUUCUGCCAAGCUUUUCAUAUAAAAAUAGCUAAAAUAAGCUUCUGAACCAUAGCACACACCCUUAACAAAAAAUGCUAACAAAUAAACAUCGCUUUGGCAAACACUGGCCUUUGCUAAAUGCGUUCACGGUGAGGAAAACUGCCUCUGCACUAGCUCUGAUGGCUUGUGCAUAAAUUCUUACCAGAAAUUGUACAAAUAAAUAAG